rnacentral:tRNA from 1 species
GGGCAUGUAGCGCAGUUGGUAGCGCGCUCGCUUAGCAAAGUUGCGAGAGGUCCUCGAUUCGAAUUCGGGCUUGUCCA